rnacentral:rRNA from 1 species
CUGGCGGCGUAGCCUAACACAUGCAAGUCGAACGGACCAUGGAAAUGAUUAGCUUGCUAUGAAGUUUCCGGAAGGUUAGUGGCGGACGGGUGAGUAACGCGUGGGCAACCUGCCCUGUACUGGGGGAUAGCAGCUGGAAACGGCUGGUAAUACCGCAUAAGCGCACAGUACCGCAUGGUACAGUGUGAAAAGCUCCGACGGUACAGGAUGGGCCCGCGUCCGAUUAGCCAGUUGGCGGGUAACGGCCCACCAAAGCGACGAUCGGUAGCCGGCCUGAGAGGGUGAUCGGCCACAUUGGGACUGAGACACGGCCCAAACUCCUACGGGAGGCAGCAGUGGGGAAUAUUGGGCAAUGGGGGGAACCCUGACCCAGCAACGCCGCGUGAGGGAAGAAGGUUUUCGGAUCGUAAACCUCUGUCCUUGGCGAAGAGGAAGAGACGGUAGCCAAGGAGGAAGCCCCGGCUAACUACGUGCCAGCAGCAGC